AAUCAAAGUUUUGUUUUCCUUUUACGCGAAUUUUGUUGGAGGAAGAUAAAAUUCCAUUGAUUAACUUGUUCCAGAACUCGCACCAACCAACGAUGUCAACAUUGCUGAUCUGUGCGUGCGGGUGGAAUUGCUGUGGUUCUGUUUGGUGUUCCCGGUGCGUUCAUCCCAGGCCGCUCCGAAAUUCCAUCUGGACGGGUGUUGACAAAAACUUCCUGUGAGUGCCGGCCAACUAUUUAGUUGUGAUGACCGCCCGCGGAAGAGCCCAUAACACAGCUGGCGUGGCGCGAAAUACGGAAGAGUUGAACCUAUACAUCGAAUUCCUCCGCUGGAUGGGGGCUGCUCGAUUGAUCAACCAGCGCUUUAGUUCCGGCAACGUUGCUGCUGUUCACGGAAGCGAAUCAAUUUAUAGGGCAGAACAUUCUACCUGAGUUUGCUCGCUGAGGACGAAGAAAGUUAUUGGCCAUUCCGAUGGCACAUCACAGGCUUCUGAAAACUCACAACGAUUGUCUAAAGGUUGGCAGUCGGAAGUUGAAUAACUCGAGACUGAAGGUGUGAGCAUUGAUGACGGAAUCGCUGGCCCGUUCUCGUUGCCAGCAAAGUAGGGCCAAAAAUUUGAAUUUGACCAGAGCUGCUCUUUUGGUUAUUAUGUCGAUUGGGACAAACCUAUCAGAACAAAGACUUGUAUAAAGAUGGUUCUGGAACGAGCACUACCAAAUGAUAAAGGCAUCCGGGAAGUUGUAACUGACCGCAACCAGUGGGAAAAAGUGUCUCCAAUCAAAAAAUCGUUGAAUAAGAGGGGAGGACCGUGAAGUUUGUUAAUCUCCUAAGAUUCUUAUAUAAGACAUCGAUUAGCAG